rnacentral:rRNA from 1 species
CAGUAGCCACGGUAAAACAGAGGGUGCGAGCGUUAAUCGGAUUUACUGGGCGUAAAGCGUGCGUAGGCGGCUUCUUAAGUCGGAUGUGAAAUCCCUGAGCUUAACUUAGGAAUUGCAUUCGAUACUGGGAAGCUAGAGUAUGGGAGAGGAUGGUAGAAUUCCAGGUGUAGCGGUGAAAUGCGUAGAGAUCUGGAGGAAUACCGAUGGCGAAGGCAGCCAUCUGGCCUAAUACUGACGCUGAGGUACGAAAGCAUGGGGAGCAAACAGGAUUAGAUACCCCCGUAGUCCCUGUCUCUUAUAA